AUUGAACGCUGGCGGCAGGCCUAACACAUGCCAGUCGAGCGGAUGAAGGGAGCUUGCUCCUGGAUUCAGCGGCGGACGGGUGAGUAAUGCCUAGGAAUCUGCCUGGUAGUGGGGGAUAACGUCCGGAAACGGGCGCUAAUACCGCAUACGUCCUGAGGGAGAAAGUGGGGGAUCUUCGGACCUCACGCUAUCAGAUGAGCCUAGGUCGGAUUAGCUAGUUGGUGGGGUAAAGGCCUACCAAGGCGACGAUCCGUAACUGGUCUGAGAGGAUGAUCUGUCACACUGGAACUGAGACACGGUCCAGACUCCUACGGGAGGCAGCAGUGGGGAAUAUUGGACAAUGGGCGAAAGCCUGAUCCAGCCAUGCCGCGUGUGUGAAGAAGGUCUUCGGAUUGUAAAGCACUUUAAGUUGGGAGGAAGGGCAGUAAGUUAAUACCUUGCUGUUUUGACGUUACCAACAGAAUAAGCACCGGCUAACUUCGUG
rnacentral:rRNA from 1 species